CUUCCCCUCAGAGGAGCGGCCGCCAUUUUGCGAGCAGCGCCCGAAGGCGGCGGCGGGGCCGAAAGCGGUUUUAUUGCGCCGGCGGCGACCCCCCUCCCCCCUCUCAAGCUCCACCCACUUUAAGCCCCGCCCCCAGCCUUUGAAGUCGCCGCCGACCCCGC